GACGAACGCUGGCGGCGUGCUUAACACAUGCAAGUCGAACGGAAAGGCCUGCUUUCCCUUGUGGAUUGCGGGUACUCGAGUGGCGAACGGGUGAGUAACACGUGAGUGAUCUGCCCCCAACUUGGGUAUAAGCCUGGGAAACUGGGUCUAAUUCCCGAUAGGACUGCAGGGUGGUGCCUGUGGUGGAAAACGAUUUUCUAGUGGUUGGGGAUGAGCUCGCGGCCUAUCAGCUUGUUGGUGGGGUAAUGGCCUACCAAGGCGGCGACGGGUAGCCGGCCUGAGAGGGUGGACGGCCACAUUGGGACUGAGAUACGGCCCAGACUCCUACGGGAGGCAGCAGUGGGGAAUAUUGCACAGUGGGCGGAAGCCUGAUGCAGCGACGCCGCGUGGGGGAUGACGGCCUUCGGGUUGUAAGCUCCUUUCGACCGCGAGGAAGCCACCUGGUUGGAAGGGUGGUGACGGUAGUGGUAGAAGAAGCACCGGCUAACUACGUG
rnacentral:rRNA from 1 species